AUUGAACGCUGGCGGCAGGCCUAACACAUGCAAGUCGAGCGGAUGAAGGGAGCUUGCUCCUGGAUUCAGCGGCGGACGGGUGAGUAAUGCCUAGGAAUCUGCCUGGUAGUGGGGGAUAACGUCCGGAAACGGGCGCUAAUACCGCAUACGUCCUGAGGGAGAAAGUGGGGGAUCUUCGGACCUCACGCUAUCAGAUGAGCCUAGGUCGGAUUAGCUAGUUGGUGGGGUAGAGGCCUACCAAGGCGACGAUCCGUAACUGGUCUGAGAGGAUGAUCAGUCACACUGGAACUGAGACACGGUCCAGACUCCUACGGGAGGCAGCAGUGGGGAAUAUUGGACAAUGGGCGAAAGCCUGAUCCAGCCAUGCCGCGUGUGUGAAGAAGGUCUUCGGAUUGUAAAGCACUUUAAGUUGGGAGGAAGGGCAGUAAGUUAAUACCUUGCUGUUUUGACGUUACCAACGGAAUAAGCACCGGCUAACUUCGUG
rnacentral:rRNA from 1 species